CUUCAUCUGGUAGAGAUUGUUAGUGCCUCUGUGGUCAAUGUCAUGGCAGAAGGCGGCGGUGACCAUGGCCAAGGCCUCCAGGCAAUAAGUAGAAGAAUGAUGCCGCUGCUGCCUUGGGGAGCUGCACUGAGGUGCCCAGGACAGCGGGAGCCCCUAGCAGCCCGAGGUCCCUCCCACCACGCCGCUGGGUCCCACUGUUCUCGUACCACCAGCAAGGAGAACAUGGUCUGCCCCACGUUGAAGCCGUGCCGCCAGUUGUGCUCCACAGUGGCAGAGUCAUCUCUUUAGCUACUUGCUGGACACCUACUCCUGAAAAAAGUCUCUGUCGCACCUUAUCUGAAACUGAUCUCAGCA